ACCCAAAACGCGAUAACUCCACGGCUUUCGAGUCUGUUCGUUCUCUGCCAAUGGUAGGAAAGAAGCGCCGCUGUCCAGUUCUGAUGUUAAACAGUGUUAGCCAAUCAGAAGCAAAACGGGGCGGGCCUUAACACAACGCGCCUCGAUCAACUAAACUGUAGCACAGAUAGGCCUACUCUCUUACUACGAAGGCUGUGACUGUAGUUAAUGGAGAGAGGGGCAUAGGAGCAGGCGCGAUGCAGUACAUGAAACCAGGGGAAAAUACCCUCGAGAUAGAUAAAGGUCUGAAAAAUAAAUGGCGCUGGGUAUGGCUGGAGGAGAUUGGACGAGAUGGCAAACCAUUUAGCAGUUGGUGUAAGAAGUUGAGUGAGACAGGCGCUUGCUUCUGCACGCUGUGCUCCAGGAGGCUAAUAUAUGCAUCCAGCGGCAAAAAGGUUCUUCGUAAACACGAAUCAGACCCUCGUCACCUAGCUGCUGUUCGUGCUGUCCCACACACGACGCGUUUACCAGGAGCAACAACAACAUCUGAUGUACCGGCUUCCAUAACUGACCGUGUGUGUGAGUUAAAAAUACGGGUGUGUGCAUUUCUCGCAGAACACGACCUCUCCUUCACGCUAUCACAACCCCUGGUCGAGCUGUGUAAAAAAGUAGCGGAAGAUAAAAUUGCACUAAGUAAAAUGUCCAUUUCAAAUCAGCUGGCCAGCUAUUUCAACACUCACGGGAUAACACCUGAGUUUAAAAGGCAAAUUUCCACCAAACUGAAAAACAACAUGUUUUCCCUGAACGUCGACGAGGCCACCAAUAAUAACAUGGAUAAAGUCCUCAAUGUUCUUGUUCGUUUUUUUGACAAUGAGGAAAAUGCUGUUAAAACGCAACACCUCGCUAGUCGAAAAAUGAACAUAGCCAAUGCUGCAGCACUUACCCAGGAAUUGAAGGAUGUGCUGCAGUCCUAUGGUUUAGGGCUGCAGCAGGUGACCAGUAUUUUACUGGACAAUUGUGCGGUUAUGCGGGGAAAGAAGUCCGGUCUCGAGACACAGUUGCGCAGGGAGAACCCGCACCUGCUGGAUAUAUCUGGCGACACAGUCCAUAUGGUUUCUAACGGUGCAAAAGCCAUGAUGAGCCCUUUCAAGGCAGAGGUGGAAGAUUUCUGCUCGGAUGUGUUUUAUGACAUAGAGAAGUCUCCGAAACAGAAAGAAAUAUUUUCGGAAUUCCAGAGAUUACUCCAUCUUACACCGAAGAGCUUGAUCAGGCCCAUCAGUAACAGGUUCCUGCAGAUGUUGGAGGUGUGCAAUAGGGUGAGAGAACUCCUGGAUGUCCUGAUUGUGCACUACUACAACCUACUGGAUCCGGGCGAAGAGCAUAAAUACAGGUAGGUACAAAGCAUUUAAAAAUGUGUGUGAAUUAAAUCGUAUUUGUCACAGUAUAGCCUCUCAGCCUGGCUCAAAAUACGCGACUAUCGUGUCCGAUUCUCGGCUGAGACCCCCCCUUACGACAAUUGCGAUUGUCUUUGUGUGCGGCGAAACCCAAUGUAAAAGUCGGACACAAAGUCGGGACUUGUGUAGUUUUAGCCUAGUCGUUUCUAUGAGCACUCUUCACAAAAUAACACAGAGUACACAGCAGAGGUCCUCUUUAUUUGCUCACCCGUGCGGUUACCUGGCAUACAUGCGUGCUUUUAAAUGUUGACAACAUCCGAAACCUACACCUACGAGCCGCGUCUUAUCCCUUGCGCUGUCAUUCAGCAGCACCCCGUUGGGAUUGAUAGUUGAUAUAUAACUAUUUUGUCUUGCGCGAAAAUAAAACGACCUUCCUUUUUAAGGAGCUUUUUUCUUUUCUUUUUUUGAACAUGUGUUAUAUUCUGGCCUAUAGCCUUCCCUUAUGAGAAAAUGUGUUGUAGUGCAGAAUCAAGCUGUUUUUUUUAAUAGUGGCUAUAACGGCUUUAUAGUAUUGCUGUAGUUAAUGCAACACAUGAAACUGCCAGCUAUAUGCUGUAUGAUGAUAUGAUAAAAAUAUUGCAUUACUGACAGUUUUUUUUUUCAUUAAAAAAAUAAAAUAGGGAUGUAUUAGUGUAUUGUCUAUAAUGCUGUAUGUUAUAACAUGCAGCCUUAAUCCCCAUAUGGUUUUAUAAGAGGGAGCAUAACGUGGGUGUGUGUGUGUGUGCACUCCAGAAAGUUACUCAAACAAGUCCUUGAAAGGCACGAGGUCUCGCCUCAGGAAAGGGCCAGAAUAGAGGUUCUGCAAGGAGAACAGGCCACAGCAUCCAGGACCCAAACAAACCAGAGCCGGAAGGAACGCAUCUCUGUGCUAUUCACAGAUUUUGAUAGGCUCACAGUCUUGAUUGACCUGUUCAGAGGUAUCUUGAAUGAGUAGGAAAAUCCAUGGCUAGUUUACAUACAUUUAUUUAUUACUUGGUGGUAAUGGCCCAGCUCUCCUGGAUGGCAUAGCUUUUUAGUUAAGACAAGGUGCAAAUGGAACAGUUAGGUCUAUUUUUCAACAAAAGUAAUCCACCUCAAGAGAAUUCCUUACAGCAUUGUAUAGUUAGUAACUGUACUGUAAUUACCUAGUUGCAUAGUAGUAACUGAUGUCUUGUUCUAAGUUUUAAUUACAACUAAUGGAAACAUGCCUAAAUGUUUUUUGUAUGUUUACAGGUGUCCUUCCAACAUUUCAGGCAUUUCUGAAAAAACUGCAACAUGAGAAACCAAUGGUGCACUUGUUGCAUGUUGAAAUGUUGGCACUGGUAAGAGAGCUGCUAAGCAAAUUCAUGAAGCCAGGAGCUAUCCCCCUGAGUGUCAAAGAGAUCCUCAAGAUCAAUGUACGGGAUGCAGCGUUACAGCUGCCUAACAAAUCCCUGUGUGUUGGAAAAUAUGGAUACUCUGCCAUGACCAAGGCCCGUGUGGCGAAGACACUGUGGGUUGGAAACUUGUACAACUCCCUCAGAGAGGGCUACAUGAAGGCAGCAGAGUUUCUACUCAAAAACCUUCCCCUCGACAACCACAUGGUCACCUCACUCUCGGCUCUGACCCCAUCCCUCAUACAGUGUGACUCCUUAGGUUCAGCAUUCAUGGCAUUAGGGAAGGCCUUGCCUAAUGUGGUUCCACCUGAAGCACUCGGCCCACUGCGGGAGGAGGUUCGUGCAUACCAAAUAGAUGCUGACCUGGUACCUCUGGCCAAUACCUAUGUUGAAGAAAACAGCCGAGUGGAUGUGGACUGGUGGAGUCAGGUGGCACUUCUAAGAAAUUCAGAAAGAGGUGUGAGAUACCCAACCCUGAUCAAACUUGUGAAAGCCCUUCUUUCAAUUUUCACAGGCCCGCUGGUGGAGGGGUCUUUCAACAUAAUGGAUGACAUACUGGAGGCAGACAGGUGCAGGAUGAAUGUGGAAACGUAUGAGAGCCUCGCCAUAAUUAAGUCAACAAUGAAAGCCAGGAAGUGGACGGCCUCAACAAUGUUAAUUGACCAGCCUUUAAGGAAUUCUUGCCUUUCCUCCUAUAAAACAUACCAACUCCACCUAGAGAAAAAGAAGGCAAGAGAACAGGGAAUGAGGGAGAAAAGGAUGAGUGAGGCCAUGAGGGUGAGGUCUACAGCGGUGGCAAACAGAAUAGUGACCCAGGCGAAGAAAUCAAAAGGGCCAUCCUCUUCCUCCACUAGGCCAGCUGCCUCACCUAGACCAACCAGACCUUCACCAAAGACCAUCUCCUCUGCAAAAACAAGACCUUUUCGACCCACUGGGCCCUCCACCACCUCCUCUGGGGCAGCUAAAAAGCCAUCCAGCUCCUCCUCUGGGCCCUCUGCCUCCUCGUCUGGGGCAACUAAUAAGCCUUCCGCCUCCUCAUCUGGGCCCUCUGCCUCCUCAUCUGGGCCCUCUGCCUCCUCAUCUGGGCCCUCUGCCUUCUCAUCUGGGCCCUCUGCUUCCUCAUCUGGGCCCUCUGCCUCCUCCUCUGGGCCAUCCACUGCAUCCUCUGGGCAACCAAAGUUAUUUUCUCUGUUUCAUGGUCCAGCCAAGAAAUCCUCUUCAAUAGCCUCAACUACCUCUGGAAAAAGGAAGAGUUCGGAUGACUCAGAACCCGGAAAAAAGAGGAAAAAAUAGAGCACUUUGUUUCAUUUUUUGAAUCUAGUUUUGAUAACUUAAACCCCACUAAAAAGUACUUUGGAGAUACAAAUGCACUUUGUUUAUUUCUUUCUAUUUGAUUUAAGUUAUCAUUUCAUGUAGGAGUUAAUGUUUUUGAUUACUUGUUUUGAUAUUACUUGAUAUAACUUUCUAUUGGUUUUAUUAACAUCUGUGUAUUUAAUUUGCCAUUUUAUUUCUGAUGAACAAAGUUCAAAGUUAUUGAAAUGUUGAAAUUGUUGAAUUAUUUGAUUUAUUAAAACUGUUUGAAAAGUAAAUCAGUCCUUUUAAUGUACCCUAAAUUUCAGAGUGCAUUUACUACAGCAUGCUCAAAAUUCACUAUUUAAGAGUGUUUUUAUCAAAAGGGGGGCACCAGGGGGGUCACGGCCACGGAAGGGGGCCAUGGCCCCCAGUUUGGGAACCAUUGUGAACACUAUACAAUAAUCUGCAUACAUGUAUAUAGUUGUUUGCAUGAGUCUAAAAAGUUCAGGCUCAGGAUUUUUUUUUGCUUUAAUCCCUGUAUAUCAGCAACUUGUUCAAUCCAAUAUUCCCCUACCCAAAGCAUGAUACAAAUGGUUAUAGAGCACUUUUAUAUUGUAUGACAGAAUACUGCAAAGGUGUUUGAAUUUUGUUUCUGAUAUUUCUUGUAGGAGUGUUUAUGUGACCUUGAUUUGAGGAGGAUGGUCUCUUUGUCCAUGGACGGACCCAACGUCAAUUGGCGUUUUCUUGAGAUGCUGCGGACGGAGCAUGCUGAGCAUUUUGGGGGUGCCCAGUUGGUUGUAGUGGGAAGUUGUGGGCUACACACUCUACAUAAUGCUGUCAAAUGUGGAUUCACUGAGUGGCAUAUGGAGAAGUUCUUAAGAGCUCUUCAUACUAUUUUUCACAAUGUGCCAGCAAGAAGGGAGGGUUUUUGCAAUCUUACAAAGUCCAAAACCUUUGCUUUGCCUUUCUGUGGUCACCGCUGGAUCGAGAACCUCCCAGUAGUGCAGAGAGCCAUUGAGAUCUGGCCUGACAUGAAGAAAUAUGUUGAUGCUGUUACAACCAAGAAGCUCCCAAACCCUGGAACGUCUUCUUAUGACACCAUCGAGGUGGCAACCAAAGACCCUCUUAUUUUGGCAAAGCUGCAUUUUUUCAUGGCAGUUUCACGAAGUGUGACACCCUUCUUGACAAAGUAUCAAACGGAUGAACCUGUGCUUCCAUUCUUUGCCAAUGACUUGGCUGAAUUACUGAAGAAUUUGCUGAGGCGAUUCAUCAAGCGAGAGCUACUGACUGAUGUCACACCUCAGCACUUGGUACGGCUUGAUGUCACUGACAAGCAGUCGAGGGUGCAUCCAAAGGCAGUGGACAUCGGCAUUGGUGCAGAGACUGCCAUAAAGGUGAUCUGAUCACCCAGAAGUUCUCAGAGAUGCUGUCCCUGGAGGUCCGAACUGAAGAAUUUCAGUCCUUCCAGCCAUUCAAGAAAAGACUGGAUGUCUUUCUAAGCAACAUCAUCAGUGAGACCUACCCACAACUUUGGUCCUUUAUCCAGAAGCUUCUACUUCAAUCACACGGGCAGGCAACAGUUGAGCGGGGCUUUUCGGUGAACAAAGAAAUUGAAACUGCUAACAUUCACGAAGACACCGUUGUAGCGCAGAGAAUCGUCUGUGACUACAUCUCUCUCCAUGGAGGGGUUACCAAGGUCCCCCUCACGCCAGCCCUGCUUUCCUCGGUCUCAUCUUCCAGAGCAAGAUAUAGAAUUCAUCUUGAGACGGAGAGAAAAAAGAGAGAAUCUCAAGCAGAGUCAGAAAAACGAAAGGCCAUUGAGGAGAACCUGGAGCAACUGAGAAAGCACAGAAGAUCCAUCAAGGAGGUAGCCGAACAUCUGCUCAGGGAUGCUGAUAAGUUGGCAGACCAGGCUGAAGCCAAGCAAGCAGGCAGCAAGAUGGCGGAGCUAAUAGCAAAAUCGAAUGCCUUUAGAAGGAGCCACAAGGAAAAGAUGGCUGAACUCAUUAAACUGGACGAACAGAUUGCUGCCAAAAGAGCUGAGCUCCAAAAGCUGUAGGAUCUAUUGAAAUGCACACAGGCACACCCACAGACGAAUGCAGGCACACGCACACACAAACACACACACACACGUACACCCCUCACAGUUAUUGUUUUAAAUUAUUCUGUCUCAGGACUUAAAUACAGUGUAGAUUGCAACAACCGCACACAGGCACACCCACAGACGAAUGCAGGCACACGCACACACAAACACACACACACACGUACACCCCUCACAGUUAUUGUUUUAAAUGGUUCUUAAAUUAAUGACUUAAAUACAGUGUAGACAGGCUGUAGGUUACUUUGGGAAAAAACAUCCAUACAAAGGCGCACCCACAGACGUGUGCAUGUGCAUACAUGCACUCCUCACACAGUUAUUGUGUUUAAAUAUGGUGAAUGUUAUGUUGAAGCAGAUCUUUGAAAGCUGUUGUCCUCAGAGCAUAUUGUUCAUUAAAGUUAUUUAUUUGAU